ensembl:lincRNA
CUGCUGAAUUAGCCCAUAUUCUUUUCUACUGUGCCCACAUGUGCUUUGCCUGGUUUUAAUUUGUAUAAUUGCUCGAACCUACAUUUCCUUUGUUAUAGGUAUGUGAUUUCAGACCUCUGGCCUCUGCACCUGUUAAAGUCUGGAGUGCUCAGCUCUGUCCCUCAUGGAGUAGGUGCACCCCUCUCUAAGAGGAGCCUUUUCAUGCUCUUGAGGGCACUUGGGAAACUGUUUUGGGAGGUUAUUGUCCCUGUCAGUGGAAGAUGUAAAGAACGUAGCCAACCAAGUAAGAGGAUCACAAAGAUUCUGGAGAUACACUUUGUGCUACACAGCCAGCAAUGUAUUUGACCGCUUUUUUCUUCAUCUCUG